rnacentral:rRNA from 1 species
UACAGAGGGGGCAAGCGUUAUUCGGAAUUACUGGGCGUAAAGGGCUCGUAGGCGGCCAACUAAGUCAGACGUGAAAUCCCUCGGCUUAACCGGGGAACUGCGUCUGAUACUGGAUGGCUUGAGUUUGGGAGAGGGAUGCGGAAUUCCAGGUGUAGCGGUGAAAUGCGUAGAUAUCUGGAGGAACACCGGUGGCGAAGGCGGCAUCCUGGACCAACACUGACGCUGAGUGAGCGAAAGCCAGGGGAGCAAACGGG